GGGUGAGUAACACGUAUCCAACCUGCCGACAACACUGGGAUAGCCUUUCGAAAGAAAGAUUAAUACCGGAUGGUAUAGUUUUCCCGCAUGGGAUGAUUAUUAAAGAAUUUCGGUUGUCGAUGGGGAUGCGUUCCAUUAGGCAGUUGGCGGGGUAACGGCCCACCAAACCUACGAUGGAUAGGGGUUCUGAGAGGAAGGUCCCCCACAUUGGAACUGAGACACGGUCCAAACUCCUACGGGAGGCAGCAGUGAGGAAUAUUGGUCAAUGGACGAGAGUCUGAACCAGCCAAGUAGCGUGAAGGAUGACUGCCCUAUGGGUUGUAAACUUCUUUUAUACGGGAAUAAAGUGAGCCACGUGUGGCUUUUUGUAUGUACCGGAUGAAUAAGGAUCGGCUAACUCCGUGCCAGCAGCCGCGGUAAUACGGAGGAUCCGAGCGUUAUCCGGAUUUAUUGGGUUUAAAGGGAGCGUAGGCGGGUUGUUAAGUCAGUUGUGAAAAGUUUGCGGCUCAACCGUAAAAUUGCAGUUGAUACUGGCGACCUUGA
rnacentral:rRNA from 1 species